UCCAAGGGAUAGCUCAGUUGGUAGAGCAUGAGACUCUUAAGCUCAAGGUCAUGGGUUUGAGCCCCACAUUGGGCAAAA
rnacentral:tRNA from 1 species